rnacentral:RNase_P_RNA from 1 species
CAACCAGGUUGGACAGCCGCGCGUCCGAGCCGAAAGGCUGGAUGUGAGGAAAGUCCGGGCUUCACAGGGCAAGGAUAACGGGUAACGCCCGCCGGGGGUGACCCCAGGACAAGUGCAACAGAGAGAUGUAGCCGGUUCGCCGGUCAUAGUGAAAAGGUGCGGUAAGAGCGCACCCGCCCCAUGGGAACAUUGGGGUGCUGUAAACUCUAUCCGAAGCAACGCCGUGGAGGAACAGAGGCCGGCCCGGCCGUUCCGAGGAGGCGGCUGGAUCCCGUGAGCAAUUGCGGGACUAGAUAGAUGGCUGUCAAGACAGAACCCGGCUUAUAGACCUGAUCGCAAA